rnacentral:rRNA from 1 species
AUUGAACGCUGGCGGAAUGCUUUACACAUGCAAGUCGAACGGUAGAGGGGGCAACCCCUCGAGAGUGGCGAACGGGUGAGUAAUAUAUCGGAACGUGCCCAGUCGUGGGGGAUAACGUAGCGAAAGUUACGCUAAUACCGCAUACGAUCUAAGGAUGAAAGCGGGGGAUCGCAAGACCUCGCGCGAUUGGAGCGGCCGAUAUCAGAUUAGGUAGUUGGUGGGGUAAAGGCUCACCAAGCCAACGAUCUGUAGCUGGUCUGAGAGGACGACCAGCCACACUGGAACUGAGACACGGUCCAGACUCCGACGGGAGGCAGCAGUGGGGAAUGUUGGACAAUGGACGCAAGUCUGAUCCAGCCAUGCCGCGUGCAGGAUGAAGGCCCUCGGGUUGUAAACUGCUUUUGUACGGAACGAAAAGGUCUCUCUUAAUACGGGGGACUCAUGACGGUACCGUAAGAAUAAGCACCGGCUAACUACGUGCCAGCCGCCGCGGUAA